GCCGUCGUCGACCAGUGGAAGGUCAUCCUCGCAAUUUCAAAAAUCUCAUGUGUUUCGAUAUCCGAGGAAGCCAAGGGUUCGAUUCCCCUCGACGGUA